CUCCCUCCAACCUUUCUCUUUUCCUACAUCUGGGGUAGAUCAUAAAAGUCUUGCUGGGAGACAGAUGGGGCAGCAGGUCAGAGUGCCGGGAAAUGCCUUGUAGAGCGCCAAGUAACAAGGGCAUGGAGCUGGGAUGCUGCUGGACUUCAGUGUGCAGCUAGCCUUGGUUCUUCAAGGUGCUGAGGCUUGCCCAGGCACUACGAACCUGCUGUGGAAAUGCUUAAACCUGGAGGGCUUGCAAUGGCGUUGCAAACACAACUACCUUUAUUGAUGCAGCUGAAACUCUGGCGUCCGUUUUUCUCCUCUUCAGCAGGAUAUGCUGUGCCCCCUGGAUCAGCUCCUGCAUGUUUGGAAGAACAUCCUGCUUCGACAGAGCAGCAGAAGUUAACUAGGACUUUGGAGCUGGUAGUGGUUAUGCUGGGAGCAGACCAAGGGGAAUAUUUGCUUUCCAAUUCCAAACAGAGGAAACUACAAGUGGAUCCAGCUUGCAGGGAGUGUGGUGUGGGAGGACGCGCAGAGACGUGGGAACAGGGAGACGCAGGAAUGCUGGUGGAGUACUUUUCCACCCUUGAAAUGCAUGGCCAUGGUUAGCUGUGGUUAGCUGUGAGGCAAAUCAUGUCUCAGUUCCCAGGACUGGAGAGCACCUGUGAGCUGCCCUCACCUUGGGAAAUGGCACUUUGACCUUCCAGGGUGUUCUCACCUUGGGAAAUGGCACUUGGACCUUCCAGGGUAGACAAGUGGGUGGUGCUGGCAAGAACGUGAGCACCAGUUCUUUCUUAUUCUUUAGAGAAGACACACACUAACUUGUCAUGCUCUCUUUAAUUUGAUCUUGUAUGACAAACAAGUCCAACUGUUUAAUGUCCUGUGCACAAAAAGGAGAAAGCAAUUAUUAUGUUAUUUGAGAGGAAAAAGCCAUUUUCUUGCUUCUGUAAGCAAAACAUGAAUUGGCACUUAUGGGGUCCAAAGGACCACAGAAUUUUCUACAGAAUCAGCUUCCAGAAUGCUGAUGUUUCUUUUCCAGAGAGAUUUAAUAGCAGGACGAGACAAAAGGAAACGCAGCAGGCCUGAAAAGUUCUUCCUCUCCUGAGUAGUCCCUGUCAAGGCAAUGGGUAAAUGCCUGCAGAAGAGGACCACACUGGAGUUCUGUUGGAACUACUGUCAAGCCCCUUGCAGCAACUGGCAGCAGCAGCAGAGGGAGAAUGCCACACUGGAGCACUCAGUGCUCUCCAGAAUACAGUAGCGGUAUUGUGUUGGCACCCCCUCUGUGGACUGGGUCCAUCACCAUGGCAGCUGGCUGAAGAAACAGCAACAAAACAAGGAAAUCACCAACUUGUUGAAACUUAAGGGCUUUAGGUUUGGAUGAGAUUCUGACAGACCCAUCUCACAGCUCCUCAGUGGCCCAGGCAUCAUGCAGACUGCACCUGUGCUUCAUCCUCCCCCUUCCUGCACACCAACCUGAGACUCCAUUCCCUUUCUGAGAGGAAGAUGAACUAUUAGAGUUCUGUCUGGGGUGGAAGGCAACUGUAUUUAAUAAUAAUAAUAAUAAUCUGUGAAAUGGGAUUUCUAUGUUCUGCCUACUUGUCAUUGUGAUGCUGUACAUGCUGUGAUUCUAGACCCUAUUUUGCAUAUGCAGAUCAUUUCCUUGAUUACAGUUGAUGAUACCAUAAAAAUUACCAGGGACAUUGUUCUGGGAUUAUGGUUAGCCUAGGAAGAGCUCAGGUACACGGUGAUAUGAAUGAGGAUCAGGUUCUAUCACAAAGAUGGCUCUGAGCUCCUGAAUUCCUCCUGUUAAAUGGGAGAGUUGGUUUCAAUCCAUUAUUAAUGAUUCCUGACACAGUAUCUGAUCUCCAGUUCCACAAAGUUCAGGACGGUUCAGAUGAGCCUUUGGUCCUCACUCAUCUCAUGAAGUGAACUUCAGCUACCUGUGAUGUGCUAUUAAUGAUCAAUUUAAAAUGCUGCUUACGUGUGAAUAUAGGGACCCUUGUUUGAAAGAGCAAUGACAAAUCUAGGACUCUGCCAGAUUUCUGGGGUCUCUCAGGCAGACUUUUAUCAUUGAAGUAGCAUGGAUGUUAGGUAUAAGGUAGGGCAUUAUGUAAGAAUGAGAACUCUGGUGCAGGUUAUGUGGAGGACAAGGUUUAUAAAUCCCUCUACAGCAAAGUUAUCAGGUGUCAGUGGGUGAGCACAGACAGCCACAGCUGAGAAGAUCUAGGCUCAGACCCCUGUCCCAUCAGAGUCACUCAGUGACCAUACAAACCACUCACUCAAUUUCUCAAAGCAAUUGGGUUUCCUAGCUCCCAUUGAUUUUAAUUGUAUUACACACCUCAUUUUCCUUGAAAGUCUAUGUUUUCAGUUCCUUUCCUGAAACGCAGUUAGCAAAUUAAUGUUUUAAUAUGAGCUGCUCAAGUCCAUGGUGGUCCUGUUACCUGAAAAAGUCCCACAGACAGCAAGAGAGAGCACAGAGUGCAGUCCUGCAGAUGUGGACCUCCUGGGAUGGCAUACCUAGAGGCUGCUCCAUGUGGGUAGCCGGGCUCUGUCUCUGGGUGGUGUGUCUGUGUCCUUCAGAAGUGAUGUUCUCACCCUUCCUCAGACUCGUAUCAGCUGUGAGAUGCUGCAGGGUACGGCUCAUGCUGUUCCUGCCUGGUGAGAUAAAGCUCCCUUCAAAGUUCCAACUUGUUAAAGAAAAUCUCACACCACAUGCAGUGCGUCUGGAAGCUUCCAGAUUGUUUAGUGUUACAUGAGCAAAACUGUAUCUGUAUUUUCAGCAAAUAUCUUCUAAAAAGAUAGAGCUUUAAAAUACAUUGAGUUUGUCAAAAGAUUCCAGGAAAAAGAGUGUUCGCUCUAAGACUGAGCUGGUCCUGUGCUUAAAGCAACUUUGAGACUUCCAGACAGAAGUGUAUCUAUCAGUGCAAGAAAAAUAAGCAAAUGCCUGUAGCUUAAUCCUGGUAGGGCAUCACUUUUUCUUCUGUGGCCAUUUCUUCACAGCCAUUUCUUCAUGGUCUGCUUCUUUGUCUCUUAGUUUUCAGAGGCAUACAGAAAGAAAUAUGAGGAACCCAUUCUGGGUCACUAUAGAGUGCUGACCCUGACUUUUGCUACUGGCCUGAUAUCUGAAGGGAAAGAUGAAGGUGUUUGCUACCUUAAUAAGACUGCAAUUGGCCCUUCAAAUAGGUAAUGGUAUUUAGAGCAACAAUGCCAGCUGGGGUCGGAGGGGCCUGCGUCAUCUCUGGUAUUCCAUGUUCUCUGAGAGAAAAAGCAAGGGACAUCUCAUUGUUCUGCUCUGUGGAAAAACACGUCUCUGGAAGAGAUUAAAUCCACUUUUGCUUCACUGGCAGGCAUUCCAAAGACACAGAUAUUUUUAUAUCUAAUCAGCUUCCUUGUCUUCUAUGAUGACAUUUAGCCACAGAUCCAGGUUAGGCACAUGGCUUUGAGAUGUGUGCCAAAUGCAGUCUGAUAUGGAGCCUUUGAAGUAAGAAAUGUGAGUGAUCUUCUCCCCACAGGUUUGGUCCUCCUGAUAAGUGAGCACACAGCUGACACACCACUGUCUUCAACCCAUUACGGAGCACUUCUCUAGUGUGUUAGUUUUAGGGUAGUUCUUAACUAUAAUGGGAAGGCUUACUUAUCAAAACUAAAAUCUGACUAGAGAAAGCAGAAAAACAAACAAACAAACAACAACAAAAAAAAACACAAAACAACAACAACAAAAACCCACAAGUUUUGCAGAUCAGUUUUAAGAGUCUCCUUGCUGAAAGGUUGGAGGCUUCCCCUCCAAGACAAUGAAAUUAAUCUAGGUGAGCCUCAAGCUACGGAAACCAUGUUUUUACUUUAAUUGUGCAGAUGAUGAUCUUUCUGAGUGUGGGCUGGCAAAACCAAAAAUCGCAGAGAUAGGAACCCCUCUGAUUCAAGACUUUCUCCAGCCAGUCCCUGUACAUUAUUACAUUUGGAUCUGGAAUAUUUGGGGUCCUUCUGGAGAAGGAGCAGUUUACUCUGAGGAACCUCUCAAUUUUUCACUGAAGGCCAGGGGCAGGGGUGACUUUGUGAUGCUGCAUUGAGAUCUCAGGUCUCAUUUUACCCAAUGGAGUAAUUUUUUAAGGAAGGAACGUAUGAAAUUAACUCAAAAUAGUGCCUCUGUAAGCACACUAGCCAUUUUCUGUAUAAGAUACAGCAUAGUGUUUUUCACCUUUCCUUUGGACUGAAAUGUAAGGAAAUUUUUCAUCAUUCAGUAUAUCCACUGGGCAAAACAUAGCCCAGUAUCUUAACCUUUUCUUGAAAGCUUGUAAGGUACUUUCCCCUUACUCCAUGUUUCUGGGCAGAGAGCAAUUUCCGUUUGUUGAAAAAAACUCUAUAGACAAAUGGGGAGACAUACAGCCUUUGUAUCCCAAGGCUAAGAAAUAUCUCCUGCUGUCACUGAAGAAACACUUGUGGUACUCGGGAGGCAGUGAAAGAUCUCAUAUUGACUUAAGUGAGAAGAGACUGAAAACCUGAUCCUUUUCCAAAUGUAAGAAACCUUUUGCUUCUGUCAAAGCAAAUACCUGCUUGUGGAGCUUCCCAGCUAGAGGCUGGAGUAACACAGUGCCAUGAGGGAUUUGAUGUGAAAAGUGGGUAAAUAUCACAUUUAGGACUUGGAUUAAGGUCUCAAAGACAGCUCCUAGGCACCUCUAACAAUCUCUGAGGUAGUUGCUUAAAAUGGUUUUACUGUAAACUUCCCAAGUGAAGUAAUAAAAUUGGUGUCCACCAGCAGAUGGUGCUUCUGCCUGAGAAUUGUUUUCUUUCAUGACCAUUGAAAGACAGUUUCCUCACAUCAUUAUUGUGAAUGAGGCAUUACAUGGCAAAACAUUUGCUAUUAUAUCAUAUGGAUUCUGUAAUUGCCAUAGUUCCUGUGUAUGCUUUUCCAUCUGCUCUUCCCUGACCUCCAGUGCUGCAUUUCUUUAAAGCGCCUUUGAUUAUCAGCCAGUAACAACUUUUAAAAGUAUCCCAUAAAAGCUCCUUGUUUAGCAGCUGUAAUACCAGGCUGCAGAAUGUCAGUGGUAGGAAAGACAGAGAUGGGUCAUUUUUAUUUAUUUCUUUAACCUGGGAUGCCUUUCAUGCUAAGUUGAGUGGUAGUAUGUGUGCUCAAAACCAGGCAGGCAGUCUGUCCCUUGCAUCCUACUGAUUCCCAGCUCUCCAGGACAAUAAGCUGAAGAUUGUCAGCUCUGAAAUGGAGCAGAUGAGGAGGUGGCUAGCAGACAAAUAAACACCCACUUGACUCCAGACUAUUCACUCUAGUGUUUGUGGGAAGAAACUGCCAACUUUUGUCUGAAAUUUGCAUUAGAAACCUUUUCCUCCUAUUACAAUAGCACUAAGCACUUUAAAAUGAAGAUCUAGGAUGCCACUUAGACAAUACAUUGUCAUCUUAAGACUCCUCUCCUCCAGCGUAUAGAUACCUCGGUGGCUGAUAUAUUUAGUCCCAUAGUUCACAUGCUACUGCAGGUACGUAGUGCAUUGUUGCACAUGUCAGGGUACAAGCUCAGGUUAAGCCAGUACGGUGCUGCUCUGGGGCUGGAGGGUUGCAGAUAACACUGAGCUCGUAGCUAGCCCUGGUGGUUGAGGAGGAGUAAUGGUAAAGGUAAAUCUCUGCAUGCACUGCAGAUGCAUGAGGUAUGGCUCUCCCUGCAGAAUAGCAUAACACAGGAGUUUUAUUCAACAUUUUGCCCUGGAUUAUGAAGCUAUUCCUUAUCCUAGAGACCUCAUGGGAUUGAGACCCAAGCCUUCCCUCGGCAGUCUGCACACUGCCUCCUGUGUCCUGGUGCCUUCCAUGCUGCUGUGGGCAGGUUCAUCCCCAUCCAGGAGAUACCAGCAUCAGGGCUGUGGUCAUCCCAAUGAGAAGAUGAGACCUCUAAAUGAUCUGUGUCAAGGUAAAACCAGGAUAUGAUAUCAACAUAAGAUGGAAAUUUUGUGAACACGUUCUUAACCGUAACAAUCACACACCACAGAAAAAGGUAUGCAUACUUCAGUAAUGCAGGUCUGCAGAUGUUCUUGGGCACUGUGAAAAAUAUAAUUUAUUUUUAAAGUGAUGGGAGUUUUUAUGAAAACGGUUAUUUCUUCUUUCCCCCAUCUCAGAAAAGGUGAGUGAAGCCCAGCAGUGGAAAUGUUAAACUCAGCCUUCUCGAAGAAAGCACGUUGAGGAAAUGCAUGCUACGUAGGGCCAAAA